AUUAUUCUAUAUGAGAGGUUACAUGUUGGUUUAUUUUAAAGGACGGAGGGAUUAUAUAUGGAGUACAUACGUAUCCAUCUUGGUCGCCGAUAUCGCGCGCGCCUCAUCUCUUCCAACUUCCAAGUGGUAAGCAACAGAAGCCGAGGCCGAGCCAGUGCAGAGGGAUCGGGGAUCGCCAUGGUUGCCGUGGGAUACAUCGUGGGAGCCAUCGCCUCCGUGGCCGUCGGCGCGGCGGUGAGCCUGCUUUGGCCGGCGGUGGCGCCCGUGGUGAUGAUGAAGGCGCCGGGCGGCGCCGGCCUCCUCAUCUCCCGCAUGGCCUUCGAGGCCAACCCGCAGCUCUACUACCACCUCCUCCACACCGCCGGCCGCGUCGCCGCCGCCGCCGCCUUCGCCGUGUGACGUGACGAAUCGACGACCUUAAUUAUUACUUCCACUGUUUUAUAUUAUAAGAAUUUUUAGAAUUGCUAUGAAUAUAUUAUGUCUAGAUUCACUAACAUUCAUAUAAAUGUGGGUAAUGCUAUAAUGUUUUACAAUAUAAAACGGAUGGAGUACGUACGUCUUGCGCUGCUUUGUUGUUAACUUGUUGCUUGGUCGUAGGAACUUACGUUAAUCGUGCCACCUAGUUGAAGUGUUUGCGUUGGUGCUGCUCACAUUGAUCGAUCGACGAUCGAUUGCUGUUCGACAUGCUAUGUUAUCCUGGCUAUCCUGGCUAGCUAGCUUUUCGAGCAAUACGUAGGUUCUGUCUGAGAGAUUACGAGAAAUACUCUCCCGCCCUAAAAAAAAUCAACCUAGAUGAGGAUGUGACUUCACCUAAAACUACGAAUCCGGGCAUCCCCAUCUAGGUUUUUUUUUUUGACGGAGGGAGUAGCUAAAAGGAAUCUAGAUUCUGGUUUUUAGUUUAAUUUUUUGCGCUUUUGCUACUGUGCAGUCGCCUGCAAAUUUGUAAUUCAUCAGUUAAUCCCCUAGUCGUUGAUUCUGCAUUAAGAUCUAUGCACACUACUGGGCUGGUGGAGAAGACUUUCUAGAUAUGGACCUUACUUACAGAUAUAUUGAAUAUGCUCUAAGUUUUAACCAAAUUUUUAGGAAAAAAUUAGUUACAUUUUUAUCCCAAGAUAAAUAUAUUUAAUUAUAGAUAUAAUAAAACUAAUUUGAUUUUGUAGAUAUUACUAAACAUAGUUAAUCUUGAAGUAGUCUAAUUUAAAUAAAGUUAAAACGGAGAUGAUGGCGGCGGCGACGACGCGAAGCUCCUCGGCGAUGGUGGUGGCUAAGCAAAGCUUCAAGACUGAUUCAAAACGAUCAUCUGGGAUACAUUAUUGAGGAACCCAAGCUGCAGGUGGCAUCAACAGUGGAUAUGGAGGCAACUCCGUACUUGCUCUUGGUUACAGUACCCAUCCUGGUGCACACACGCGCACUAGCUUUCUCUCCGGCGUUGAGUGAUUGUAGAUGUAGUAUGUGGCGAUGCCCCUGUUCCUGACCAUUCUGAAAGCUAUCGCUCUGAGGAAGCAUUGCUACUGUUAGGUGGUGUGAGGAAGCAAGAAGAAUAAUUUUGAUAAGAAUCAUUGCUACUGCUUAGUGGUGUUACAAAGCAACAAUUGGCAGUACCAACUACCAAGCAAUAACAACAAAUCUGACGCACAUUUGAUUUGCACAUAUUUUCAGAAAUAUUCAGAAUGUUUGCCAUUCUGAAUUUUGAGCGGACUGCACAUUUUUCUUUCUUCUUACAUGGUAAAAAUGUUCACCCAGAUUGAAUUGAAUGUAAUAUCUCUCAAAUUCUUGAAAUCUGAAUGCAAAAGGUUAUGAUGGCUUGCUGAUAUGAAUGUAAAAAAAUUUGCUGGUUUUUCCA